ACUCGCGAACCGCGAGAUCGUGACCUGAGCUGAAGUCGGACGCUUAACGGACUGAGCCACCCAGGCGCCCCUCCCCGGACUCUUUUUAACCCCAAUUGCAUUGAGCUGCAUCCUUUAUCCCAUACGAAAGGGUUUUCUCCAAAGACUGGUUGCACACGUACACACACGCACCCACGAUGCCGGCAGGGUGUUUUGAGCGCCACUUCGCGUGGCACCUGAAACGGAUUUACCCCAGCUGUUAGAAGGGAGCGUUGUAAAAUGUUACACCGUCGUUUUAAUGCAUUACAAAAACUUAAAAAUAUUCUCAAAUGUGUCUCUACCUUUCUGGAGAAGGGAUUAUGCAUUGUUCUGAUUUGUCUCUUUAUCCGUUUCUUUGCAAAAUACUACUUUAUGGCUUUAUUGUGAUAACAGACAACAAAUAAUACAUCUUUUAGUGUGUGCUUGACAAAAGUCCCGGGAUGUUCUGGAGUUUUACUAGUUUGAGAUCUCCACGACGUAGGAAACUGAUUUAGUGGAUAGAGCCCGUCCUGGUUUUGACCUUCAAGGCUAGAUAAUGUGAUUUAAAGCUCGAGAGUUACUCUGCCAGACACUUCAAAGAGUUCACUAACGUUUCGCUAAUGCCUUUCAUUCAGCAAACAUUGUUGACUACCCAUUAUAACUUAAAAACAGGUGUCUGCCCUUACUUUAGAUUUUUGAUUAGGCAAAUUACCCAAAUCUCUCUAAGCUUAUCUUCCUGUUAUCAAAAUUGGGGAAAAUAUAAUAUUCAAGCCUUGUUCCAGAAUUGUUCAAAGAAUCAAAAGGUCAUCUACCAUGGAAAAGCAAAGUGUCCUGUAAAAGUAAGGAACCAUGAAGAGGUUCUCAGACAUCAGCCUUUCCUGAUUAACAAAACCCAGCGCCCGUCAUUCUUGAAUCCAGAAUAUUAAAGUCUAGAAAGCCGGCUGUAAGUUUACUGUUCUUUUUGUGUUGGCUGUUUCUUCCUUUGAACUCAGAAUGCCUAACAAGUGCUGAUUGGCAAAAGGGGGUGGAUGGACUGAAAAAAUGUUACCAUAAAAACAAACUUAAGUUGUACACAAACCUUCAAACUGCAUGGAUGGACUGAUCCACUUCAGCUCCUCUUCCACUUGUAAAGCAUCUUAAGCUUAGAUACUAUGUUGUGCAACGUGCCGCUCACAAGUAUUUCCACCACACUUGUUUCUCACGGAAGUGCCACCUGCUGUACCUACCACUGCUCUGAACUUUGAGAAAUAACUGCAGAUGAAGAAAAAAAGAAGGCUUGGUUACGCCACACACGAAUCCAGUCAGUGAUGGACAGUUCCAGACGCGUGGUCACCUGGUGUCCCCGGGGCAAGUUUUCCGUCUCUUAUCAUGGCCCAGUAGCACACUCCGCUACAACUGGCGUGUUCUUGCUCCAGAGUUUCCACUGGAUCUUGCCAUCAACUACGCACCAUUUCUUUUUCCACGACUGUCGCCUUCACCACCAUUGGUCUGCCGUAUCAUCAGCUCCAAAGCUAUAUACUUAAAGCUGUCACCUGAUAUAUUGUGCACAGCAGUAUUACCAGGGAUGGCAUGCAUGUCUCCACCACCUGAAGAGGCCUAGCCAGGGCCGUGUUUCCUUCUUCGAGAAAGGGCACUGUGACUUUGCCUCUCGAGACGUAGAGUCCUCUCCCUUGAAUCUGGGCUGGGCAGUGGAAUGCAGCCAAAGUGGUGUAUGACCUCCAAGAGUGGAUGAGAAGUUUACAGCCUAACCUGCUCUUGCCCCUAAUGUCUCCUUUGAGAAUCCAGCUGCUUGCUCCAAGAAUCCCAAGCUAGGAGGAGAGGCUACACUGAAGUAAGUGCUUUGGGCAACAGUCCAGCUGA